rnacentral:rRNA from 1 species
AUUGAACGCUGGCGGCAGGCCUAACACAUGCAAGUCGAGCGGGGUUUUCGGACCUAGCGGCGGACGGGUGAGUAAUGCGUAGGAAGCUACCCGAUAGAGGGGGAUACCAGUUGGAAACGACUGUUAAUACCGCAUAAUGUCUACGGACCAAAGUGUGGGACCUUCGGGCCACAUGCUAUCGGAUGCGCCUACGUGGGAUUAGCUAGUUGGUGGGGUAAUGGCUCACCAAGGCGACGAUCCCUAGCUGGUUUGAGAGGAUGAUCAGCCACACUGGAACUGAGACACGGUACAGACUCCUACGGGAGGAAGCAGUGGGGAAUAUUGGACAAUGGGCGCAAGCCUGAUCCAGCCAUGCCGCGUGUGUGAAGAAGGCCUUCGGGUUGUAAAGCACUUUCAGUAGGGAGGAAGGGUGUUGUGUUAAUAGCACAGCAUUUUGACGUUACCUACAGAAGAAGCACCGGCUAACUCUGUGCCAGCAGCCGCCGUAAGAC